GCUGGCGGCACGCUUAACACAUGCAAGUCGAACGGGAUCUUCGGAUUUAGUGGCAGACGGGUGAGUAACGCGUGGGAACCUGCCCAGUAGUAGAGAAUAACUUGAGGAAACUUAAGCUAAUACUUUAUGCACCCUCCGGGGAAAAGCUUUAUGCGCUAUUGGAUGGGCCCGCGUUAGAUUAGUUUGUUGGUGAGGUAAUGGCUCACCAAGACUACGAUCUAUAGCUGGUCUGAGAGGAUGAUCAGCCACACUGGGACUGAGACACGGCCCAGACUCCUACGGGAGGCAGCAGUGGGGAAUAUUGGACAAUGGGGGCAACCCUGAUCCAGCGAUGCCGCGUGAGUGAUGAAGGCCUUCGGGUUGUAAAACUCUUUCGUCAGGGAAGAUAAUGACGGUACCUGAAGAAGAAGAUCCGGCUAACUCCGUGCCAGCAGCCGCGGUAAUACGGAGGGAUCUAGCGUUAUUCGGAAUUACUGGGCGUAAAGCGAGCGUAGGCGGAUUUGUAAGUUGGAGGUGAAAUCCCAGAGCUUAACUCUGGAACUGCCUUCAAAACUACAUUUCUUGAGUUUGGUAGAGGAGAGUGGAAUUCCUAGUGUAGAGGUGAAAUUCGUAGAUAUUAGGAGGAACACCAGUGGCGAAGGCGACUCUCUGGGCCAAUACUGACGCUGAGGUUCGAAAGCAUGGGUAGCGAACAGGAUUAGAUACCCUGGUAGUCCAUGCAGUAAACGAUGAGUGCUAGAUGUUGGGAAUUUAAAUUUCCAGUAUCGCAGUUAACGCGUUAAGCACUCCGCCU
rnacentral:rRNA from 1 species